AGGAGACCCCCCCCCCCCCCCGGUCGAAACCCUUCCUCUUGAAGAUCAUAUCUUGUGCCUAGCCCUAUUCAUAGCCUGGAUUUGGUUGACCAACUUGGAACGGGUAACGUAACGUAGCAUACCGAGCAGUCUAAGGUCGUUAGGUAUCUUGGAAGUGGGAAGCUUGCUAUCUGGGAGUGCUGGAGUGGUCAUGGAUCGAGGCUCUUGGAUUAAAAUACACUUAAUACAUUGGUUUUUAAGCGUUGUUACGAAACAAAUGUUAAACAACUUGUUACAUGCUUCCGCUACAUAACUUUUGAGAAUUAAUAUUAUGUUGACAACUUAUGUGAGUAAAUUAAUGUCAUGAUUUAUUUAAAUA